UACGGGGGGAGCAAGCGUUGUUCGGAUUUACUGGGCGUAAAGGGCGCGUAGGCGGCCACCGCAAGUCGAUUGUGAAAUCUCCGGGCUUAACCCGGAAAGGUCAACCGAUACUGCGGGGCUAGAGUGCAGAAGGGGCAACUGGAAUUCUUGGUGUAGCGGUGAAAUGCGUAGAUAUCAAGAGGAACACCUGCGGCGAAGGCGGGUUGCUGGGCUGACACUGACGCUGAAGUGCGAAAGCUAGGGGAGCGAACGGG
rnacentral:rRNA from 1 species